CACGGUAGGUUUGUUUUUUGGUGAAGCUGUCUGCAUAGCACUAUACAGUGAAACUGCGAAUGGCUCAUUAAAUCAGUUAUCGUUUAUUUGAUAGUACCUUACUACUUGGAUAACCGUGGUAAUUCUAGAGCUAAUACAUGCUAAAAAUCCCGACCUCCGGAAGGGAUGUAUUUAUUAGAUAAAAAACCAAUGCCUUCGGGCUCCUUGGUGAUUCAUGAUAACUUAACGAAUCGCAUGGCCUUGCGCCGGCGAUGGUUCAUUCAAAUUUCUGCCCUAUCAACUUUCGAUGGUAGGAUAGUGGCCUACCAUGGUUUCAACGGGUAACGGGGAAUUAGGGUUCGAUUCCGGAGAGGGAGCCUGAGAAACGGCUACCACAUCCAAGGAAGGCAGCAGGCGCGCAAAUUACCCAAUCCCAAUCCGGGGAGGUAGUGACAAUAAAUACUGAUACAGGGCUCUUUUGGGUCUUGUAAUUGGAAUGAGUACAAUUUAAAUCCCUUAACGAGGAACAAUUGGAGGGCAAGUCUGGCCCC
rnacentral:rRNA from 1 species